UACAGAGGGUGCAAGCGUUGUUCGGAAUUAUUGGGCGUAAAGCGCGUGUAGGCGGCCUUGCAAGUCGGGUGUGAAAGCCCUCAGCUCAACUGAGGAAGCGCGCCCGAAACUGCAGAGCUUGAGUACCGGAGAGGAUGGCGGAAUUCCCCAAGUAGAGGUGAAAUUCGUAGAUAUGGGGAGGAACACCGGUGGCGAAGGCGACUCUUUGGCCUGUAACUGACGCUGAGGCGCGAAAGCGUGGGGAGCAAACAGG
rnacentral:rRNA from 1 species